AGGACCAGGAAGCAGGUCACCCAAGCUGCUGGCCCUGCCAUGGCUCCUGGUGGACGUGAGGGAGGAACAAUAUCACAGGGCUGUGUACACCCCCUGCGAUAUUGGGAGUAAUAUCAUCCUGUCGACCUGAGGAGAGAAGCCAUUUCUCUGCUGUCUCCUGUCUCUGAAGAGAAGGAGGAAGUAAAAGUUGAAAAACAACAGGAAUGAAGUCGGUGGCAAGACCAGCCGGUGGCACUGAUGAGCCGGCCUGAGGUGAAAAGAUUAACCACCCCCACUCUAAGCGCAUGUGCUCUCAAUCCAUCACGAUUCUUUCACGUGGAACCCCUUAGCGUUGUAAGCCCUUAAACGGGCCAGGAACUCUGUCUUCCUUUGGGGGUCGGGCUCUUAAGACAAGAGUCUGCCGACACUCCCGGCUGAAUAAAAAAAUCUCUUCCUUCUUCAA
ensembl:lncRNA novel transcript